rnacentral:misc_RNA from 1 species
UCGAAGCCUGCACAGCAGAACGACCCGUGAACAUGUAAUCACAACCGGGUGUCGUGGGGUCGGGUGCGAGCCUUAGCCCUGCGAUGCUCGUCGGCAUGCGUUCAAGUUGCCUAUCUCUAGGCAUCGUGGACGCUCUGUCGGCACAAAAACAAAACCCCGGCACGGCAUGUGCCAAGGAAAACAAAACUCAAGAAGGAUGCGUCUCGUGUUGCCCCGUUUUCGGUGUGCAUGCGGGUCGUGUCCUCUCAUUAACCA